rnacentral:other from 1 species
UAACUCCUGGGCUGCUCGAUAUCUUGCAUUUUUUUGAGCCUACAUUAUGACGUACGGGAUUCCUAUAUUGUUAGAUGGAUGUCAGGCCUCCUUUUGAGUGGAAGGCAGAAGUCUAAUUGCGGUUGCCCACCUAGCAUGGCUAGGAGUCAAUGGUGUGAGAGUCGGCACUCUGGGAUUACA